AUCUGUUUUUUAAGUCCUGUCCUGUAACUUAUGUAAAAUGUUGUUUUGUCAGCAGGGUAAACUAAUGUAGUCCUGCUGCAGUCCACUACAGUACUUGGCCCCUAAAGCAAUGAGGGGACAGGGCACAGAAUGGCAACUGAUUGGUGGAGCUGUGCGGUUUUGACGCACGAGAUGCUGUCAAGAGCUACGCCUUUUGAAGCAGAAGGAGAAAUCAACCAGCAGAUGAUAUUUGAGUUAGUCUUGGCAUCUGGAAACAGAUUGGAUAUCCAUGUUCCCUUUGAACAGCAAGUUUUUUAAACAAGUUCUAAACAAAUUAGUUUGUCCCUAACAAAGACUCAGUUAAUAUAUAUUAUCUGUUUUAAUGCCACUGAAGUAGGUGCAUUUACAAAAUCCAGGCAGAAAACUACCUGAUGGCCAACAGGAAAUAAGUAAUUGUGUUUAUAAGGGAAUAAUGUGAGGGACAGGGAAGGAAAUGAUUCCCAAAGCGAAAGAACUAAGAUUUUAUUGUAGGAGAACAAUAUUUGCUAAUCUGGAAACCUAAAUUAAAAUAGCCAUUUAUCAUAAAAGUUUCAAAAAUGAGAAACAUUCUUUGGAAUAAAAUUUGAGAUGUAUCUUUCUAAUGGGUGAGAAAUGAAUUAAAUCUUCUUUUGCAGUGUAAUUCUGAAAACAGAUGUGAUUGUGCUCGAACACUUCCUACCAUGAGUGCCAAAUCUCGUAGUGAAUUUCCUUGUUCAUGGAUCUAAUACAUUAGAGUUCUCAUUAUCAAAUCUAAGCAGGAUGUAAGGAUGAUCAGAUAAUUAAAAAUGUCAAUCCAGAAGCCAAUUAUGAAGGCACUCUGAAGAAACUGAUUUCACAAAAUGUAGAAGGGGCUUGGUCAGGAAGUGUGAUUCAUUCUGCUACGUACUCAGUUGGCAGCUCGUAAAAUGAAACAUUCUGAGGUGGCACUUUGAUAAAAUGGAAUGUUGGAUAACCGAAGGUCAGAUAAUUGGGACCUUACUGUAUUAAUAAUAAAACCCAGUGUCCAGUUUUAAUAUUUCUAGAUAUAAUUUAUUUGAACAUCAGUAAAUAAAAAUGUGGUUUACGUUUCCAGCAGCGGGCUAUCCGUAAGGUGGGGUGAGUGUUCAGAACCCCACAUUUUGACAUUAUGAAGCAUGAUAUAUUUCAUGCUGAGUGACAAAUUAAGCGCCCUAUAGAUAGAAAAUAAACACAGAGCAUAUUAGUUUAAUUGUAAUCAUAGGAUAGAGACAGGAAUACAUGUACAGUUUAAGUAAAGUAAAACUUACAGAUGUCGAUCUUUACCCAGGCCCUGUGCCCCUCUGGGAAUGGCUCCUCCUAAUGAAACAUCUCAUGUGCAAUAAUUCUGGAAGCAUUCGCAGUAGUUACAUAAUAAAAUAUAUUAACAGGCUUAGGAAGACACUGCAAAACUUGCUGGGAGGUCAGAAUUUCAGAAGAAACCUCACAAUACAUGAGCAGACAACUUGAAACUUCCGUCCCAGUAAAUGCGACAUUGCAAAACACUUACAAAGAGCACAGUUUGUAUUUACACAGAAGACUUCAUUUCAUGAUCCUUGUACAUGCUUGCUUGAUAAUUGAAGGGUCUUUUAAACUGAGGUGCACUUGUGUCUGCUUUGCCAGGCUUCAGUCUGCAAUAAGCACGCUGUUCCAUACCAUUAAAGUUUGUCAGCCAUUCCGGCUCUCGUUAACGGAAUCCAAUUUAUCCCAGAGGCCUGGAGGUGGUAUGGCGUAGGAUUAUCACAAGGGUUAACCCAAAUACAAAUAAAAGCACUCCCAAAUUACCAACAUGUAUUUAGAAAAAUAUAUAUAUAAAUUGAAAAGAGAACAAACUUCCAAGGCUCAGGCUCCGGUCGGGCUUACGACUAGCUACGUCAAACCAAAAAAUUAAGAACUAUCUGUCUCCAAGUUAUCCCUCUUCGACUCGUUCGCUGCCCAGCGGACACACGCAGACUGUCUACCCUGCUGUCCCAUCAGGGCCUCGAAGCGAGCGACUCCAAAGAACGUUGAGAGGGGAGAUAGGCCACUUCGAGCCAUGAGGCAUGGCUCACUUGUGAUUUGUACUACAGGACACCACGUGGGUUGACAUCAGGGCAAAGGCGAUAUUUCUGCCAUAUUUCCUGCUUCUCGAUGACAACAUUGUCGAUGAUGAUGAUGAAGACCAGUCUGGCGUGGAUGCUCACCCUCAGUUACUAGGCACUCAGCCUCACUUUCAAGUUUCUCAUUUGUUUCACCUCCUCUGGAUGAAAUCCACAAGCAGCGCCCAACCACAGUGAUAACAACCUCCAUUGCUUUUUAAGCUUGUAUCUGAUAGAUGCAUUGCAAAUUAUAAAGUUAAGGAUUGG